rnacentral:rRNA from 1 species
GACGAACGCUGGCGGCGUGCUUAACACAUGCAAGUCGAACGGAAAGGCCCUGCUUUUGUGGGGUGCUCGAGUGGCGAACGGGUGAGUAACACGUGAGUAACCUGCCCUUGACUUUGGGAUAACUUCAGGAAACUGGGGCUAAUACCGGAUAGGAGCUCCUGCUGCAUGGUGGGGGUUGGAAAGUUUCGGCGGUUGGGGAUGGACUCGCGGCUUAUCCGCUUGUUGGUGGGGUAGUGGCUUACCAAGGCUUUGACGGGUAGCCGGCCUGAGAGGGUGACCGGCCACAUUGGGACUGAGAGACGGCCCAGAAUCCUACGGGAGGCAGCAGUGGGGAAUAUUGCACAAUGGGCGGAAGCCUGAUGCAGCAACGCCGCGUGCGGGAUGACGGCCUUCGGGUUGUAAACCGCUUUCGCCUGUGACGAAGCGUGAGUGACGGUAAUGGGUAAAGAAGCACCGGCUAACUACGUG